rnacentral:rRNA from 1 species
ACCCGCUGAACUUAAGCAUAUCAGUAAGCGGAGGAAAAGAAACUAACUAGGAUUCCCCGAGUAGCGGCGAGCGAAAGGGGAGAAGCCCAGCGCCGAAGCCCGCGGUCACACGGCCGCAGUGCAAUGUGGCGUUUCGGCGGCGACUCGCCGCGUCCUCUCUGGCACGAGUACCUCUGAAUGGGUCUGCCCGCAGCGGGUGUCAGGCCUCUACUUGCCAGGCGAGCGGGCGCGUCCUGUCGUCGUCGCGGAGUCGGGUUGCUUGAGAGUGCAGCCCAAAGUGGGUGGUAAGCUCCAUCUAAGGCUAAAUACCUAGUGCGAGACCGAUAGCAAACAAGUACCGUGAGGGAAAGUUGCAAAGAACUUUGAAAAGAGAGUUCAAGAGUACGUGAAACCGUUCAGAGGCAAACGGACGGAACUGGGCGAUUCCGACGUCGUCAUUCAGCCGCGGCCGCGAGGCCGCGGUGCACUUGGCGGCGGCGGAGCGCGACGACCGCCUGCCGGGUCGUCAGAAGCUCGGCGGCAAGGUGGCGACACGCUCGCGUGUCGUGUUACAGGCCGCCGCGGCGUUGGCAGACUUGGCGGGCGAGGAGCGCCUGCGGUGCACUCCCCUCGCGGGAGUGGCCCGACGCGGUGGGCUUGCGGACGCCGGCGACGAACUGCUCGCAGUUUGUUGUCGCGCGCGCCGUCUGUCGUGCCGCGCGGUGCCACGAGGCACCCAGGGUCCGGGUCGUGUGGUUCCUGGCACUCCGUCCGACCCGUCUUGAAACACGGACCAAGGAGUUGAGCACGCGCGCGAGUCGAUGGGCUCGUUGAACCCCAGUGGCGCAGCUAAGGCAAAACGGGCGUGAUCCGGCACUGGCGUGUCGGCGCAACGCCGGCCCGCGGGCGACUCGUAGCAAGUGCCCGCGGUGCAAGAGCGUGUGUGCUCAGACCCGAAAGGUGGUGAACUAUGCUUGAGCAGGGCGAAGCCAGAGGAAACUCUGGUGGAGGCUCGCAGCGAUCCUGACGUGCAAAUCGGUCGUCAAACUUGAGCAUAGGGGCGAAAGACUAAUCGAACCGCCUAGUAGCUGGUUCCCUCCGAAGUUUCCCUCAGGAUAGCUGGCACUCGGGAUAAAUGGUUUUAUCCGGUAAAGCGAAUGAUUAGAGGCAUUGGGGACGAAACGUCCUCAACCUAUUCUCAAACUUUAAAUGGGUAAGAGGCGCGACCCUUCCUGAUCGGGGUCGCGUGCUUGAACAGAGAGUGCCCAGUGGGCCGUUUUUGGUAAGCAGAACUGGCGCUGUGGGAUGAACCAAACGCGCGGUUAGGGUGCCUAACGCACGCUCAUGAGAGACCACAAAAGGUGUUGGUUGAUAUAGACAGCAGGACGGUGGCCAUGGAAGUCGGAAUCCGCUAAGGAGUGUGUAACAACUCACCUGCCGAAUCAACUAGCCCUGAAAAUGGAUGGCGCUGGAGCGUGCGACCCAUACCGCGCCGUCGGGGCAAUGCGUGCGAAAUGCCAGGCCCCGACGAGUAGGAGGGCGUGUCGGUGGCGUUGAAGCGUAGUGCGUGAGCACGCGUGGAGCCGCCUUCAGUGCAGAUCUUGGUGGUAGUAGCAAGUAUACAAAUGAGAACUUUGUAGACCGAAGUGGAGAAGGGUUCCAUGUGAACAGCAGUUGGACAUGGGUCAGUCGGCCCUAAGAGAUCGGAGAAUUCCGUUCUGAACGGGGGAGACGCGUCGCGUGGGCGGCCGUCAGAACCAGGACACACGCGCGUCACACACACGCACACUCGCAACAAAAGUGUACCACGCAAAUGCCAUGCAUGCAGUGAAAAGUACACACGCAGUUGAGCAGCUGCUUAUACCUAUUUUGAUCUAGAGAGUGUCGUGAUGUGUGGCGGCGGUGACCGAGUGCGGCCGGCCCGGCGCAGCAAGACGCACGUCUACCCCCGAUGCGAUCGAAAGGGAAUCGGGUUAAUAUUCCCGAACCUGGCAGUGGAGAUUGGGCCCUCGGGCCCCAGUGCGGUAACGCAACCGAACUCGGAGACGCCAGCGUCGAUCCCGGGAAGAGUUCUCUUUUCUUUGUUAGGAGCGGACUCCCUGGAAUUGGCUUGUCCAGAGAUAGGGACGUUGCAUCCGUAAAGCGUCGCGCCUCACGCGGCGUCCGGUGCAUCGGCGUUGGCCCUUGAAAAUCCGAGGGAGGCAGUGUAAUUUUCACUCCAGGCCGUACCCGAAUCCGCAGCAGGUCUCCAAGGUGAACAGCCUCUGGUCGAUAGAACAAUGUAGGUAAGGGAAGUCGGCAAAUCCGAUCCGUAACUUCGGGAUAAGGAUUGGCUCUGAGGUGCGGGCUGCUUCGGGUCGCGGCAAGAAGCGGAUCGUGCGUUGGUUGGACUGGGCGCGCCUUCGCGGCGCGCUCGGACCGCCGCCAGCGCGCGUCCGUGGGAGGCCGUGGCUUUCGCCGGCGUGGGCUCGCGCCCGCGUCGGCUUCGUUCGGCCUAAACGCACAGCACAGAACUGGCACGGACUCUGGGAACACGACUGUCUAAUUAAAACAAAGCAUCGCGAUGGCCGCUGGUCGGUGUUGACGCGAUGUGAUUUCUGCCCAGUGCUUUGAAUGUCAAAGUGAAGAAAUUCAACCAAGCGCAGGUAAACGGCGGGAGUAACUAUGACUCUCUUAAGGUAGCCAAAUGCCUCGUCAUCUAAUUAGUGACGCGCAUGAAUGGAUUAACGAUGUUCCCACUGUCCCUAUCUACUAUCUAGCGAAACCACAGCCAAGGGAACGGGCUUGGCAAAUACAGCGGGGAAAG